AUGUCACCGGAUUCUACACCUUCAUCUCCGAUGACUUCUUCGUCGCCACCUCCUGAUUCUACCUUGGCUAGUCCUCCUUCUCUUGUUCCAUCUCUUCCUCAGCAUUACACUCGUCGUUCACGGCCUGUGGAUGCUUCCUUGGCUGAGUCGUCCUCUUCCUCUCAGUCUACUUAUGGCUUGCGUUCUCGUCCUCGUCCGCCUAUUGAUCGCUUUGGAUUUCCCACCGCUGGUGCUGCUGUUCUUGAGCCGACUUCUUACCAUCAGGCUGUUGUUUAUCCUGAAUGGCAAUUUGCGAUGGCAGAGGAGAUUGCUGCUCUUGAACGCACUGGUACCUGGGAUCUUGUUUCUCUUCCUCCCGGAGUCCGUCCCAUCACUUGUAAGUGGGUCUACAAAGUUAAGACUCGCUCCGAUGGUUCUCUUGAGCGUCACAAAGCUCGUCUCGUGGCUCGUGGUUUUCAGCAGGAGCAUGGUCGUGAUUAUGACGAGACUUUUGCUCCUGUGGCCCAUAUGACCACUAUUCGUACACUUCUUGCCGUUGCCUCUGCACGCCACUGGUCUAUAUCUCAGCUUGAUGUUAAGAAUGCCUUUCUUAAUGGUGAGCUGCGUGAGGAGGUGUACAUGCAGCCACCACCUGGGUAUUCUGUUCCUGAUGGCAUGGUGUGUCGUCUUCGUCGCUCUCUCUAUGGCCUUAAGCAAGCCCCUCGCGCCUGGUUUGAGCGUUUUGCUUCUGUGGUCACUACUGCUGGUUUUUCAGCAAGUGUUCAUGAUCCCGCAUUGUUUAUUCACCUUUCUCCUCGUGGCCGGACUCUUCUUCUUCUCUAUGUUGAUGAUAUGGUCAUCACUGGGGAUGACCCCGAGUAUAUUGCCUUUGUAAAGGCCCGUCUUAGUGAGCAGUUUCUUAUGUCUGAUCUUGGACCUCUUCGCUAUUUUCUUGGGAUUGAAGUCUCUUCUACCUCUGAUGGCUUUUUUAUAUCCCAGGAAAAGUAUAUCCAGGAUCUUCUUGCUCGUGCUGCUCUCUCUGAUGAGCGCACUGUUGAGACUCCUAUGGAGCUCAAUGUUCACCUUCGUGCUACUGAUGGUGACCCUCUUCCUGACCCGACGCGUUAUCGUCAUCUUGUUGGCAGUCUUGUCUAUCUAGCUGUCACUCGUCCGGACAUCUCUUAUCCGGUUCAUAUUCUGAGUCAGUUUGUUUCUGCUCCCACAUCGGUUCAUUAUAGUCAUCUCCUUCGUGUUCUCCGAUAUCUUUGGGGCACGAUCUCUCACCGUCUCUUCUUUCCUAGCUCCAGUUCUUUACAGCUUCAGGCCUAUGCGGAUGCUACGUGGGCUAGUGAUCCUUCUGAUCGCCGUUCGCUUUCUACUUACUGUGUUUUUCUUGGCGGUUCUCUCAUUGCCUGGAAGACGAAGAAACAGAUUGCAGUUUCCCGUUCGAGUGCUGAGGCUGAGUUGCGAGCUAUGGCUCUUUUGACGGCAGAGGUGACUUGGUUACGGUGGUUACUUCAAGACUUGGUGUUUCUGUCACUACACCGACUAUGCUCUUAUCUGACAGUACAGGUGCUAUUAGCAUUGCGCGCGAUCCUGUGA
rnacentral:rRNA from 1 species